rnacentral:misc_RNA from 1 species
AGGAUCGCGUCACCGACCGGAUCGACUACUCGUUGGGAGAGCCGACCGACACUUACGGGCACGGCACUCAUGUCGCCGGCAUCGUGGGUGGUCUUCCCCAGUCGGGCUCCGAUCAGUCCGAUGCGAACGGCUUCCUUUAUGGAGUCGGUGUGGCGCCGGGUGUGAAGUUCGUCGAUCAAAACGCAAUCGGAACGACCGGUUACGGAAACGACCCCGUUACGGAGCCCUGGCCUCCUUCGGAGGGCUUGCAAACACUGUCGCGCGACUCCUGGAGGGCCGGCGCGCGGAUGUGGAACGCUUCGUGGAACACCGGCGAAGGAAACCGUG